AAGAGGGCAAUUUUGGGUGAUGUACCAAGACCUCCGUGACCAUGAAGACAAAUUUCUGGACUACACCAGAAUGUCCAUAAAAAGCUUUGAUGAGUUGCUGGAAUUGCUGAUCAACAGAUUGCAGAGGAUGGACACCUACUUCCGCAACUGUAUCCCCCCUGUGGAGCGACUUAUCAUAACACUGAGGUAUCUAUCAACUGGACAAUCCAUUGCAAG